CAGUACAGUUAAGGCAACACAUGAAAAAAAUAUGGUAAUGAAGUCAUAAUGAGGUCUGACGUCAUGACAGUUGCUCCGCCCUGAUUGAUCCAUAUAAGGAAAUGGUGCUCAAAAUAACUAUUUACCGAUAUUGGCAACAAUUUGUAAUAAACAGCAAUAUCUUCAUGUUUAAAUAGAAAAUAAUUAGUGAUUUUCUCGUAUAUAAAAUAGCAUGUCUUUAAAAUAAUUCUCUUUUUAAUGUGUCGUUUGUCUGCAUUCGGCUUCAGCCAAGCGCUUGCACUCGGUGACACGGAAUGUUGUUUACAUCUAAAAACGUGGCGACAUCAGCUGAGAUUUGCAGUGGAUUUAAAUGCAAUAACCACACAAUCUUUAAAGAAAAUAGGGAUAAAAUAAGAGACAAGGCAUUGCUUCUCCAUUUUACAAGACUAUGAGGACAUUAUUUCGGAAAAUAGCUGAAAACUGAGACGAUUUGCAACAGCUCUAGAUCCGGAGAUCAAUCACUGCACUGUAAUAUUCCAGGCCAGCUGUCCAGAGUUUCAAGCUUAAAGAGUGAAUAAAUAAAAAAUGCAUCAUUUCUCCACAGGGCCUAGCUAUUCCCAGAUGUUGGACAAAUGGAUUCAUUCAGGCAGCAAGUUAAUCCAUCAUUUAAGGAAAAUGAAUUCAUUUUAUCCACAAGAACAUGAGGUGAUGGAAAUAAUUUGUACCUGCCCAGCAUUCCUACAGUCUGUCAUUGGAUUUGAAAAGAAAUGUUUAUUAAAUAAAUUUUCUAGAUAAAUAUUAAUUUGACUUUUUCAUAUAUUUAAUGUACAGGUGUUGAAAAGGCCAUUAAGAUUUGAAAAUCUUAACUUUCUUACUAUUUUGUGUGGAGGGUACUAAUGAUCAUCAAGAUCUUAU